ACAGUAUGGUAUGGGCAUCUAUGAAUGAGGUACUUAAGUCUCUUCCAUGUUUCAUGAAACAAUUCUCCAUCCAUUUGAAGAAAACUAGUGAUGGCUUUCCUAAUUU